CAUGCAAGUCGAACGGUAACAUAAGUGCUUGCACUUGAUGACGAGUGGCGGACGGGUGAGUAAUGUAUGGGGAUCUGCCGAAUGGAAGGGGACAACAGUUGGAAACGACUGCUAAUACCGUAUAAUGUCGCGAGACCAAAGCAUGGGACUUUCGGGCCAUGCGCCAUUUGAUGAACCCAUAUGGGAUUAGCUAGUAGGUGGGGUAAAGGCUCACCUAGGCGACGAUCUCUAGCUGGUCUGAGAGGAUGACCAGCCACACUGGAACUGAGACACGGUCCAGACUCCUACGGGAGGCAGCAGUGGGGAAUAUUGCACAAUGGGGGGAACCCUGAUGCAGCCAUGCCGCGUGUAUGAAGAAGGCCUUCGGGUUGUAAAGUACUUUCGGUGAUGAGGAAGGCGGUGUAUCUAAUAGGUGCAUCGAUUGACGUUAAUCACAGAAGAAGCACCGGCUAACUCCGUGCCAGCAGCCGCGGUAAUACGGAGGGUGCGAGCGUUAAUCGGAAUGACUGGGCGUAAAGGGCAUGUAGGCGGAUAGUUAAGUUAGGUGUGAAAUCCCUGGGCUCAACCUAGGAAUUGCAUUUAAAACUGGUUAUCUGGAGUAUUGUAGAGGAAGGUGGAAUUCCACGUGUAGCGGUGAAAUGCGUAGAGAUGUGGAGGAAUACCGGUGGCGAAGGCGGCCUUCUGGACAGAUACUGACGCUGAGAUGCGAAAGCGUGGGGAGCAAACAGGAUUAGAUACCCUGGUAGUCCACGCUGUAAACGAUGUCGAUUUGGAGUUUGUUGCCUAGAGUGAUGGGCUCCGAAGCUAACGCGAUAAAUCGACCGCCUGGGGAGUACGGCCGCAAGGUUAAAACUCAAAUGAAUUGACGGGGGCCCGCACAAGCGGUGGAGCAUGUGGUUUAAUUCGAUGCAACGCGAAGAACCUUACCUGGUCUUGACUCACAGAAUCUUGUAGAAUACGAGAGUGCCUUCGGGACUGUGAG
rnacentral:rRNA from 1 species